GACGAACCGUGCGAACGUUGUUCGGAAUCACUGGGCUUAAAGGGCGCGUAGGCGGGCUGCCAAGUCCGUGGUGAAAUCCCCCGGCUCAACCGGGGAAUGGCCUCGGAUACUGGCGGUCUCGAGGGAGGUAGGGGCGUGCUGAACUGUAGGUGGAGCGGUGAAAUGCGUUGAUAUCUACAGGAACUCCGGUGGCGAAGGCGGCACGCUGGACCGUUUCUGACGCUGAGGCGCGAAAGCCAGGGGAGCGAACGGG
rnacentral:rRNA from 1 species